rnacentral:pre_miRNA from 1 species
GAUAGGUGACUAGUACUCCUUCUGAGUCCAACUUUAAUUGUCCGUCUUGUUUGAUUUUUUUUAUGAUUAGCAUUUAUGUUAUUAGAUGAUAAUUGAUAAAACAUGAAUAAUAUUUUAUACAUGUCUUAUAUUUUUCUAUUUUUUUAAAAUAAAUAAAUAAUACGGAUGAUCAAAGAUAGGCAUAGAAAUUUAUAACCCCGCUUACA